AUUGAACGCUGGCGGCAGGCUUAACACAUGCAAGUCGAGCGGAGUAGUGGUGCUUGCACCAUCACUUAGCGGCGGACGGGUGAGUAAUGCUUAGGAAUCUGCCUAUUAGUGGGGGACAACAUUUCGAAAGGAAUGCUAAUACCGCAUACGCCCUACGGGCGAAAGCAGGGGAUCUUCGGACCGUGCGCUAAUAGAUGAGCCUAAGUCGGAUUAGCUAGUUGGUGGGGUAAAGGCCUACCAAGGCGACGAUCUGUAGCGGGUCUGAGAGGAUGAUCCGCCACACUGGGACUGAGACACGGCCCAGACUCCUACGGGAGGCAGCAGUGGGGAAUAUUGGACAAUGGGCGGAAGCCUGAUCCAGCCAUGCCGCGUGUGUGAAGAAGGCCUUUUGGUUGUAAAGCACUUUAAGCGAGGAGGAGGCUACUUAGAUUAAUACUCUAGGAUAGUGGACGUUACUCACAGAAUAAGCACCGGCUAACUCUGUGCCAGCCGCCGCGUAAUAC
rnacentral:rRNA from 1 species